GGAUAGAGAGCCAUUCUGCUCCAUCUAAUAUCCCAGCUGAGCUCCAACCGAUAGAUCCGAACUCUCUGGCAAGUCACGAUAAUGGCCACUACCCUACUCCACUCUCUGCAAUGGAUUCUGCGUGGCUCCACCACUCUCUGACAAGUCGCGACAACGGACACCACACCACCCUCUGGGCUCUACCACUCUCAGGCAAGUCACGACAACAUACACCACUCCACUCUCCGUAACAAACUCCACGUGGCCCUGAAUGACCUCUGACGCCACUACUCUCCGUAACAAACUCCGUACGGCUCUGAACAGCCCACUACCAGGCGGUUACAGAUGUUGCUGUCAAUCAGUUACGCUCUCCAUCUAUAAAAAGGGACCCCC
rnacentral:lncRNA from 1 species